rnacentral:rRNA from 1 species
GACGAACGCUGGCGGCGUGCUUAACACAUGCAAGUCGAACGGAAAGGCCCUGCUUUUGUGGGGUGCUCGAGUGGCGAACGGGUGAGUAACACGUGAGUAACCUGCCCUUGACUUUGAGAUAACUUCAGGAAACUGGGGCUAAUACCGGAUAGGAGCUCCUGCUGCAUGGUGGGGGUUGGAAAGUUUCGGCGGUUGGGGAUGGACUCGCGGCUUAUCAGCUUGUUGGUGGUGUAGUGGCUUACCAAGGCUUUGACGGGUAGCCGGCCUGAGAGGGUGACCGGCCACAUUGGGACUGAGAUACGGCCCAGACUCCUACGGGAGGCAGCAGUGGGGAAUAUUGCACAAUGGGCGGAAGCCUGAUGCAGCAACGCCGCGUGCGGGAUGACGGCCUUCGGGUUGUAAACCGCUUUCGCCUGUGACGAAGCGUGAGUGACGGUAAUGGGUAAAGAAGCACCGGCUAACUACGUG